rnacentral:rRNA from 1 species
GAUGAACGCUAGCGGCAGGCCUAAUACAUGCGAGUCGAACGGUGUAGCAAUACACAGUGGCGCACGGGUGCGUAACACGUAUGCAACCUACCUUACAUUGGGGGAUAGCCUUUCGAAAGGGAGAUUAAUACCGCAUAAGACAGUAACUAGGCAUCUAGUAGCUGUUAAAGAUUUAUCGAUGUAAGCUGGGCAUGCGUCCAAUUGGUUAGUUGGCGAGGUAAUGGCUCACCAAGACGAUGAUUGGUAGGGGAACUGAGAGGUCAAUCCCCCACACUGGCACUGAGAUACGGGCCAGACUCCUACGGGAGGCAGCAGUAGGGAAUAUUGGGCAAUGGGCGCAAGCCUGACCCAGCCAUGCCGCGUGCAGGAAGAAGGUGUUAUGCGUUGUAAACUGCUUUUAUACAGGAAGAAACGACCCUUGCGAGGGGCAUUGACGGUACUGUAUGAAUAAGCACCGGCUAACUCCGUGCCAGCAGCCGCGGUAAUAC